rfam:Populus trichocarpa scaffold_5_contig_292, whole genome shotgun sequence.
UCUAGAACUCGAGAUAUAGGUUGAACACUGAAUAGUGUCUGGGCUGCAGGACAGAUUCGGACUUCUCCGUUGUUUCUAUAAUUUGGACUUGAAAACAGCCUUUUUAAAUCUUGGACUUCUCAUAAAAUUUUUAGGCCUAUGUCUUAGCUUUCCAUC